rnacentral:misc_RNA from 1 species
AAGUCGUAACAAGGUUUCCGUAGGUGAACCUGCGGAAGGAUCAUUAACACGUAUCCAAACGUUAAAACCCCCCCCGUGAACAUUGAUUCCUGGUCUUGUAACCCGCGAAGCUUGCAAUCUCUGCCACAGUUAAAUGUGAAGCUCAAUGUAAUACAUUGGGUAAAAAACCGAACAACUGUUAACAAUGGAUAUCUUGGUUCUC